UUACAGUGGACAGCUGCUUCUGUGACACGCAUUAAUCUUGCGUUCAUUGAAACACUUAGUUUUGAGUGUUUUGACUCAGUUUUGUUGUAACGUUACCUGUGUUUAUAUUUUCAAUAACUUGUUUUGGGCUUCUCAUAUUUAUCUUUUUUUCUUGGCUUAGCAGGUUUAGUGUAAAACAAGUUUUAGCUGACAUUUUACAUGUUAAGAUUACAUGAGUGCAUAAUUUUAUAAAAGCUAUUUCAAAGUACUGUAGCCAUGUGUAACAUGCAUAUGUCUUAGUGAAUGAAUACUCAGCAUGCUGCUUGGUGCUCAAUGGUAAUAGUUUGAUUUGUUUUUGACAUCAAGUAAUAUUUGAUUUUUGUUUCUGAGAUUCCAAUGUUAUUUGUGGCAAAUAUUUUCCAAAAAUCCUCUAUCUAAAGCUUCAACUGAAUUCUAAAAUGCCUGCAUUUUCUACCAGAAACAUUAUCAUUGAUACCUCCUACAAUAUUUCAUUUUGUCACCAGGUACCUGGACUGGUGAAAAGUGAAAUCUGAAAUUCAUUCAUGUCACCAUUAUCCUACGACCUACCCCUAAAUGGAAUUGAUCUUGUUUCACAAAUGAGUUGUACAUUGUACAAUGUCUAUCAGCUGAUGUCUAUUGUCUAUCUCUCUUUCAGCACAGAAGAUCCUCAGUCAUAGUUAACAAAAUGGAAAAAAUUAGCUGUGUUUUUAAGAUUCCAGUGGUGGCCAUCAACUGCUCAGGAAAGCAGCCCAGAAUCACUUCACAACAGGUUUCCAAAGGAUCAUCAUUCAUCAGCACAGAAGGGUGGGAAAGAGAAGGCUGUUCAAAUUCUGAAAAGCCAGAGCUGCAAAGGAGGUCAAAGAUGCAGUGCAGUUGGCCCACUCAGUAGAGUUUCACUAGUGGUUCUGAUGUGGACUGAAGAUUACACGCUGGAUUGAAGUGGCCGGUCUGGAGCAGCUGUAGUUCACCAUUCUUGCUGAUUGUGGACGAGUAAGAGCCCGCGUUGGCCCCGAUCGGCGAUCGCUGGCCAAAGCCCACCACCAGUUUGGUGAUAGGCGUUGGCUGUGAUAUCUAGUGUCGCCUAUGUGUGAAAAGGACAAGUUGAUAACAAAACCUGUUGCGCCAUGUUAUUAACCCGCGCCCGGGUGGCCCUCAGCCAACUUGGUGGGGGGGGGGGGGGAGGUGUAUUCGGCCACACCAGGUUAUCUUGGAAUGUAGCAAAGCUGGAAAGACGCAGUAAAAUCAAUCUAUAGAUCGCUAUUUUUCUUCAGAAUCACACAGGUCAUUUUUGAUCAGGUCAUCGCUGAGGUCACUGGAGGUCACCAAAAGUAAAAUGAUGACGAAUUUUGGCCCCCGAUUUUGACAACUUCACAAAUUGGUUCAUAAUUCGGGAACCAAAGAAGCUACAGCGCCGCGGAAAAGCGAAUUCGAUAGCUCUUUCGAAAAUCUUUCAGGUUCUCAUAUUUGAGCUAAGGUCAACUAGGGUUA